rnacentral:rRNA from 1 species
UACGUAGGGGGCAAGCGUUGUCCGGAUUUAUUGGGCGUAAAGAGCGUGUAGGCGGCCAGACAGGUCCGUUGUGAAAACUCGAGGCUCAACCUCGAGACGCCGAUGGAAACCGUCUGGCUAGAGUCCGGAAGAGGAGAGUGGAAUUCCUGGUGUAGCGGUGAAAUGCGCAGAUAUCAGGAAGAACACCGGUGGCGAAGGCGGUUCUCUGGGCCGUACCUGACGCUGAGGAGCGAAAGCGUGGGGAGCAAACAGG